GAUAACCAAAGAUAAUGGCUGGGUUCAGUGUAGGGUUAGUGAUAACGCGAACAUCACCACCACCAGGUGCCCAAGUGUCAUAAACACCACCGAAGAACAUUGCUUUCAGCACCAACAACAGCGCACCGCAUCCUAAGAUGAUUAGGUGGAAGCCGAUGAUGUUGGUCAUCUUGUUCUUAUCUUUCCA
rnacentral:antisense_RNA from 1 species